rnacentral:lncRNA from 1 species
AUGUGUGUGUGUCCAUCACCACGUACAGGUGUGUGGGCGCGCGCACGCGUGCUCGUAGGAAAAGACCGACUAGCUCCGAGCGCGCGCCGGACAUGUGAGUCGCGGCCAGUCCGGCCAGCUGGCGCGGGACUCCACAACACACAGAAUUCCACACACACACACACAGAUUCAGAAAAAAUAAGAAUAUAAUCAAAACGAUGAGUUAAAGGUGUCGUUUUAUUUUUGUAUUACGGAUUAAGUAUAUAAGUUGUUUUUUUUUUGUUUUUUUUUGCCUCAACAGGGGAAAGCCACGUAGGCACCUGUGAAUCGAUUCAGGAUAUAUUUUCAUGGACAACUUAAGUGCUUUCCAAUCCAUUUCUCAUCUUAUUAUAUAAUAUAGGCCUAUUAUAAAAAUUCCCCAUAGACUUGAUGACAUCAUGAGACUAAACGCGUCUUUAUAUGCCAUCUCUAUUUUAAAAAUAUUUGUAAAAGUUCUUUACUCAUUUGAUUUUCUGUAAGUUGCAUUGGCGCCAUCUGCCUGUCAGUACACGUAUAGCACGUGUAAGGAAGGGGCUUGUCCGUGUUGCCAUGUCCACUUAACAUAAGCAAUAAAUAUAUACUUAUAAAUAUCGACAUUCAUGAGUUUCCAUUUUUGGGCUUAUUUCCACCAGCGUAAAGUCGCAUAUGUUUGAUUGCUUUUAGGAUUAUACUACAAUAAAUCAGAUCAAGAAAGUCAAGCAAUUCCCCUUAAUACAUAAACCACAUAUGCAUAGAAUCACAAACACUUGGGUCACUUAUGUAGGCUUGUUUUUGUGAAGCAAGGCAUUUUAUUUUAAGGGCUAUAUUGUCAGACUAGGUUGCUUGUUUGUGCUGUGCAGCAAAAGCCACUUGCAUGGAGAAAGAUUACUAAGAUAAUUUAUGAUGCAAAAUACAUUAGAUAGACAGCCUGAUUGCAUAUCUUGGUGAUAGUCACCAAUUAGCAAGUCUCAGCAGCUGCAGAAAAGCACCAGCGCUCGCUCUCAGCACACACUCAGACAGACACGCACCUCAGUAAGGGCUGUUUAGUCUGAGUGCUAGAGGAAACCUUGAGUGCGAGGUGAAAGAGUGGGAGGAAGCUUCAGAGACAGAAAGAAAGGUGGAUAUACUUAAAACAGGAAAGAGUUGGGUAAAGACAGAAAAAGACAUAGAAGAGAGCUGUACAGAAUGAGUUAAAAAGUGAGGUGUUGAUGUAGGAGGUAUUGAGGAGAGGCGUUUGUUUUUUUGUUAGUGUGCUUCCUGCGUCAGAUUUUAAUUGAAAAAUAACAGAUAGAUAUGAGCUACACUGCCACCUGUCCGAAAUACUGCAAACUCAGUAAGGACAAAACUAAUGAAGUUUAC